CGGUCACAGUGACCGCCACCGUUGCCAAGGGAUGGGUCCCUGAGACUUGGCGAAGUGGGAGCCCUGUGUGAUCGUGCGUCAGAGUCGGGGCUGAGACCAGCCCCGGCCAGGGUAGUUACCGGGACGGUCUCCGGAGGCCGGGAUUCGCGGAGGGUCCACCAGCAGGAAGAAACCCCAGGAGGAAGAAACCUCAGACAGAUCGCCGGGGAGGCAGCGCGGGAUCCCAGCCUCAGGCGUGCGCGGACGGUGUGCGGGAUGCAAAAUUUUUCCAAGGGAUGUGCAUCUGCAGACAGUUUUAGGGACUAUUGUCAAGAACUGUGAAGGAUCUGAGCUUACAAGUUAGCCUGCUUCAGUUUUAUGGAUGCUGGCAGAAGACACAUAACUGUUUGGUCAGAGACAGAAAGACUUCCAUUAUUUGCAGCACAGCACAGAGUUGCACGAGCUUCAUCUUUGCUCUGGUUCCUGUUUUCCCUCAAGUUUACUGGAGAUGAUGACAAGGAGUUCAAGUUGAUGCUACACACAGUUUGUGUCAUAGAUGAAGAACUCCAAGUAAAGGAAACUUAAAUCUUUAAUAAAUGAG
rnacentral:lncRNA from 1 species